rnacentral:piRNA from 1 species
GCAGAACACUGUGUACAUAAUAAA